AAAGGGAAACAACCCAGACCGUCAGCUAAGGUCCCAAAGUUAUGGUUAAGUGGGAAACGAUGUGGGAAGGCUUAGACAGCUAGGAGGUUGGCUUAGAAGCAGCCACCCUUUAAAGAAAGCGUAAUAGCUCACUAGUCGAGUCGGCCUGCGCGGAAGAUGUAACGGGGCUCAAACCAUACACCGAAGCUACGGGUAUCACCUUCGGGUGAUGCGGUAGAGGAGCGUUCUGUAAGCCUGUGAAGGUGAGUUGAGAAGCUUGCUGGAGGUAUCAGAAGUGCGAAUGCUGACAUGAGUAACG
rnacentral:rRNA from 1 species